UGUCAGAUUUGACACACAUUCAUGUUGUCGCUUGACGAACGUGUACGUAUGGCGGUGCGCUGCUGACAAACUCUCUCAACCUCCUGCUACACAAGCAUAAGAUCAACAGAGAUAUGAUCAAAUACAAGAAAAGGAUUUUAGACCAAUAAAGUUUUGAGCUAGCGGGCAUCAUGGCAGUUUUGGACAGCCUGGAGGGGCAUGGCUUCGCAGCGGCUGUGUUCUAUGGGGUGUGCUCGGCCUCCAUGGCCUUCCUCAACAAGGCAGUUAUUAGCUCGUAUGAGUUCCCCUUCCCAUUCUUCAUCAUGGCAUGUC